CCUACGGGAGGCAGCAGUGAGGAAUAUUGGUCAAUGCACGAGAGUCUGAACCAGCCAAGUAGCGUGAAGGAUGACUGCCCUAUUGGUUGUAAACUUCUUUUAUAUGGGAAUAAAAUGUUCCACGUGUGGGAUUUUGUAUGUACCAUAUGAAUAAGGAUCGGCUAACUCCGUGCCAGCAGCCGCGGUAAUACGGAGGAUCCGAGCGUUAUCCGGAUUUAUUGGGUUUAAAGGGAGCGUAGGUGGAUUGUUAAGUCAGUUGUGAAAGUUUGCGGCUCAACCGUAAAAUUGCAGUUGAAACUGGCAGUCUUGAGUACAGUAGAGGUGGGCGGAAUUCGUGGUGUAGCGGUGAAAUGCUUAGAUAUCACGAAGAACUCCGAUUGCGAAGGCAGUUCACUGGACUGCAACUGACACUGAGGCUCGAAAGUGUGGGUAUCAAACAGGAUUAGAUACCCCUGUAGUC
rnacentral:rRNA from 1 species